rnacentral:tmRNA from 1 species
GGGGAUGUAUUGAUUCGACAGGAUUAUGUCUGGGUAGAAUGCAAGUAGUAGGCAUACUAUAAAUGCAAAAACUAAAAUAAUCGGAAACGAUUUUAAUUUCUCUCCAGCUUUUGCUUAAUUAAGUAAAACGGAGCUUCCACUUUUAACUUUUGUUCACGAGUUUUAAGAGGGGAGUCAUAAAGUGAACUAUAUUAUAAAUUUGUUUGUGAUUUAUAACGAAUGAUUAGCAAACUUAGAAUAAUAAGAGAAGUUGGCAAUCUACAUUAUUAUUUGAAGUUAAAAACCAACUAAACUUGUAGAAAUUCUAUUGGGAUGAAUCUUGGACAGGAGUUCGCUACUCCUCAUCUCCACCA